GCCCAUAUGCUCAGUGGUUAGAGCGUUGGCCUGUGGACCAGAGAGUCACAGAUUCUAUUUCUGGUCAAGGGCA
rnacentral:tRNA from 1 species